rnacentral:rRNA from 1 species
CCUACGGGAGGCAGCAGUAGGGAAUAUUGCGCAAUGGAGGGAAGCCUGAUGGAGCAACGCCGCGUGAGUGAUGAAGGCCUUCGGGUUGUAAAGCUCUGUCGUAAGGGACGAUAGUGACGGUGACUGGAAAGGAAGCAAUGGCUAACUAAGUUCCAACAGCCGCGGGAAUAAGUAGGUGGCGGGAGUGGGCCGGAUUUACUGGGCGUAAAGGGAGCGUGGGCGGAUUUGUAAGUGAGAUGUGAAAUACUUGGGGUCAAAUUGGGUGAUGCAUUUCAAACUGGAAGACUAGAGUGCAGGAGAGGAGAAUGGAAUUCCAAGUGUAGCGGUGAAAUGCGUAGAGAUUAGGAAGAACACCAGUGGCGAAGGCGAUUCUCUGGAUUGUAACUGACGCUGAGGCUCGAAAGCGUGGGGAGCAAACAGGAUUAGAUACCCGAGUAGUC